ACAGCAGUCGCCACGGUAAUACGUAGGUGGCAAGCGUUGUCCGGAAUUAUUGGGCGUAAAGGGCUCGCAGGCGGUUUCUUAAGUCUGAUGUGAAAGCCCCCGGCUCAACCGGGGAGGGUCAUUGGAAACUGGGAAACUUGAGUGCAGAAGAGGAGAGUGGAAUUCCACGUGUAGCGGUGAAAUGCGUAGAGAUGUGGAGGAACACCAGUGGCGGAGGCGACUCUCUGGUCUGUAACUGACGCUGAGGAGCGAAAGCGUGGGGAGCGAACAGGAUUAGAUACCCGAGUAGUCCCUGUCUCUUAUAA
rnacentral:rRNA from 1 species